GGAGAAGUGAGGGACAUCACCGCAAGUCAGUAAGGAGACAAGUCUCCUUCUCAUCACUCAGGGCCAAUUGGCAGAGAAAGUUCUGAGGAUGAAAAGUUCUUGGUGGAAGAGGUUCCCAUUCCUGCAACCAAGGUGACCUCCACCAUUUUUCCACUGGCAGAGGCUCCAGCCCCAGAUAAGCAACAAAACCAGCCAUGGCUGACGUCAG